rnacentral:rRNA from 1 species
GUGUCAGCCGCCGCGGUAAUACGUAGGGCGCGAGCGUUGUCCGGAAUUAUUGGGCGUAAAGAGCUCGUAGGCGGCUUGUCGCGUCUGCUGUGAAAUCCCGGGGCUUAACCCCGGGCGUGCAGUGGAUGCGGGCAGGCUGGAGGCAGGCAGGGGAGAACGGAAUUCCCGGUGUAGCGGUGAAAUGCGCAGAUAUCGGGAGGAUCACCGGUGGCGAAGGCGGUUCUCUGGGCCUGUGCUGACGCUGAGGAGCGAAAGCGUGGGGAGCGAACAGGAUUAGAAACCCGAGUAGUCC